rnacentral:rRNA from 1 species
GACGAACGCUGGCGGCGUGCUUAACACAUGCAAGUCGAGCGGGGUCCAACCACUGGCAACAGUGGGGAAGACCUAGCGGCGAACGGGUGAGUAACACGUGAGGAACCUGCCCCAGAGACCGGGAUAACCCUCCGAAAGGAGAGCUAAUACCGGAUGCCCUUGCCGGAUCGCAUGAUCUGAUGAGGAAAUGGAUUCCGCUC